UGGAUAAGUUUUUGUAUUUUCCAAAUAUCAACCAUGCUUCCAAAUCUAAUGGAUCCCAUCUCUCAUUAAAUAUUGGUAACCAACCAUAUUCAUUCUCCAUUAAAGUAAGCUUGAUCUUAGUUUUCUCUCAACACCAUGUAUGAUCUUAACAGUCCACCCUCUGAUGUUGAUAUUGGCGUUGAACCAUCUUUAACGGUUUCUGCAAACAUCAAUGUUCAUCACAAUUAUGGAGUUGAUUUGAACAUUAAUGUUCAUGGCGUUAAUGAGGAGUCUUUGCAUAUGUCUAUUUCCUCUGAGUUUAGUUCCCUGUGCCUGUUUCAUCCCACAGAUCCCAGCUUUGGUGGCUUCAUUCUUGGCGCAAGAUCAUCAUAGGUUGCAAAGUUAUAAUGGUAACUGGGUAUGUCUUUGUCAAGUAAAGGUGUAAAAGUAGCCAUUUUCCUAAUUUGCAGUGAUGCGACAUGUGGUACCGAUGGCAUGUAUUGACGUUGUGGAGAUAAGACAUACUUGUCAAUCAUGUAACAAUGUUGUACAUUGAUAAUUGAGUCAAAGUAUUCUGCUUUGGUAAAAUCUGCCACUACUUCAAUUGCGUCUCCCUCUAACAGAUGAUGUUAAUUUCUAGUUUGUAAAAACGUAAGUUAAUUGACAUUAUAGAAGGUACCUUAUUUUGA